AAUGUGCGACAGCUGUGGCGCCGGCCAACCAGGGGCGGAGGCGGCGGCCAGGGAGGAAGCGGAGGAGGUGGAGGCGGCCGUGGGGUUCGCCCGCCUGCUCGUUCGCCUGGUUUCCCCGCCCCCGCCGGUUUCACGGCCGCUGAAGAGAGCCGGGUGCGCGCUGUCGUAACCUGUCCUCAUCCUGGCCAGCGACAGGAAGACCAGACCGACAUCUAGACCAGCCUCCCUGUCAGGACAACUGCGGCGCGGGCUCCAAGGGGCUCAGGCUGGCGGCCCGGGCGCCUGAAGGUUACUGAGUGCAUGAGCGCCUAGCCUCCCGCGCUGCCCCGCCCGCCGGCUCGCCGGCCCGCCCGCCGGCUCGCCUGCCAGCCCCUCGGCGCCCGGCGGCGGCGGCGGCGGCGGCGGCGACGGCCGCAGGAGGCGCCGUUUCCCUGCCAGGUGCGCGCUUCGCUCCCGGAGCCGCGGAACUCGGCGGCCGCCAUGGCGUCCAACAUGGACCGGGAGAUGAUCCUGGCGGAUUUUCAGGCAUGUACUGGCAUUGAAAACAUUGAUGAAGCUAUUACAUUGCUUGAACAAAAUAAUUGGGACUUAGUGGCAGCUAUCAAUGGUGUAAUACCCCAGGAAAAUGGCAUUCUACAAAGUGACUAUGGAGGUGAGACCAUACCAGGACCUGCAUUUGAUCCAACAAGUCACCCAGCUUCAGCUCCCACUCCCUCUUCGUCUUCAGCAUUUCGACCUGUAAUGCCAUCUAGGCAAAUUGUAGAAAGGCAACCUCGGAUGCUGGACUUCAGGGUUGAGUACAGAGACAGAAAUGUUGAUGUGGUACUUGAAGACAGCUGUACUGUUGGAGAGAUUAAACAGAUUCUAGAAAAUGAACUUCAGAUACCUGUGUCUAAAAUGCUGUUAAAAGGCUGGAAGACCGGAGAUGUGGAAGACAGUACGGUCUUAAAAUCGCUACAUUUGCCAAAAAACAACAGUCUUUAUGUCCUUACACCAGACUUGCCACCACCUUCAUCAUCUAGUCAUGCUGGUGCCCUGCAGGAGUCAUUAAAUCAAAACUUCAUGCUGAUCAUCACCCACCGAGAAGUCCAGCGGGAGUACAACCUGAACUUCUCAGGAAGCAGUACUAUUCAAGAGGUAAAGAGAAAUGUGUAUGACCUUACAAGUAUCCCCGUUCGCCAUCAGUUAUGGGAGGGCUGGCCAGCUUCUGCCACAGAUGACUCAAUGUGUCUUGCUGAAUCAGGGCUAUCUUAUCCCUGCCAUCGACUUACAGUGGGGAGGAGAUCUUCACCUGCGCAGACCCGGGAGCAGUCCGAAGAGCAAAGCACCGAUGUUCAUAUGGUUAGUGAUAGUGAUGGAGAUGACUUUGAAGAUGCUUCCGAAUUUGGGGUGGAUGAUGGAGAAGUAUUCGGCAUGGCAUCAUCUGCCCUGAGAAAAUCUCCAAUGAUGCCAGAAAACGCAGAAAAUGAAGGAGAUGCCUUAUUACAAUUUACAGCAGAGUUUUCUUCAAGAUAUGGUGACUGCCAUCCUGUAUUUUUUAUUGGCUCAUUAGAAGCUGCUUUUCAAGAGGCCUUCUAUGUGAAAGCCCGAGAUAGAAAGCUUCUUGCUAUCUACCUCCACCAUGAUGAAAGUGUAUUAACCAACGUGUUCUGCUCACAAAUGCUUUGUGCUGAAUCUAUUGUCUCUUAUCUGAGUCAAAACUUUAUAACCUGGGCUUGGGAUCUGACAAAGGACGCCAACAGAGCAAGAUUUCUGACAAUGUGCAAUAGACAUUUUGGCAGUGUUGUGGCACAAACCAUUCGGACUCAAAAAACAGAUCAGUUUCCACUUUUUCUGAUUAUUAUGGGAAAGCGUUCAUCUAAUGAAGUGUUAAAUGUGAUACAAGGUAACACAACAGUGGAUGAGCUAAUGAUGAGACUCAUGGCUGCAAUGGAGAUCUUCACAGCCCAACAACAGGAAGAUAUAAAGGAUGAGGAUGAACGUGAAGCCAGAGAAAAUGUGAAAAGAGAGCAAGAUGAAGCCUAUCGCCUUUCACUUGAGGCUGACAGAGCCAAGAGGGAAGCUCAUGAGAGAGAGAUGGCAGAACAGUUUCGUUUGGAGCAGAUUCGCAAAGAACAAGAAGAGGAACGUGAGGCCAUUCGACUCUCCUUAGAGCAGGCCCUGCCUCCAGAGCCAAAGGAAGAAAAUGCUGAACCUGUGAGCAAACUGCGGAUCCGGACCCCCAGUGGCGAGUUCCUUGAGCGGCGGUUCCUGGCCAGCAAUAAGCUCCAGAUUGUCUUUGAUUUUGUAGCUUCCAAAGGAUUUCCAUGGGGCGAGUUCAAGUUACUGAGUACCUUUCCAAGGAGAGACAAGCAUUGUAUCCUGAAACAAGAGCAUACACAGGCUGUGGAGUCAAAUGGACCUGGCCUUGAAUUCUGGAUCAGCUUUCCAUUGAGUGAUCUUAGGUUACUUAGUCUCUUAGUAAAAAUGGGAGUGUCAAUACCUACUUUAAAGGAUUUUUGUGAGCAUUAAAAGGAAGACAAAUGUAAAAUAUUUAAUACAUAUAGCAUAUAGUUAGACUCUAAUAAUAGUAACUGGUAUGGUGCUAAUGGUUAUUAUUUCUCUGCCCACCUCUUCUUUCCUAUCCUUAUUUUUUCUUUUAUGUUUUGGUUUCAAGGGGACAGGAUCUCGGUCCAAUAUUAACUGUUUGGAAACUACCAGCUUUCAAGUAAAGAUAUCAAACAGUGUGCCUUACAGGCCUAAUAAUAAAAGUUUAAGAGUGGUGUUCAACUAGGAGUAUCUAGAGUUUAAUAUCUGCCUUCUGUUUUACCAAACCAGCAGAUUUCUUUCAUAGUUGGAAACAUUUCUAAAUUAGUUUAUGGUGUUUUUCCUAGGGUAAGAGACAGGCUUAUUUCCUCCUUGAGAUUUUUACCUAAUUUAUGUCAGAGUUCUCCAGGGUCUGCUCUGUGUAAGUUCACUUGGGCAGUAUCUGUACUGCAUCUUAUUUGCCUUUGCACCUCCAUUUUCUGGCACUGAGCUUGCACAGGCCUACCACAGAGUAAGGACCCACCAAGAUCUGACUAUAGGAUAGACAGAAGGAUGUAUGGAUGGCACACUAUGGUGGGUGUGAUGAUGAUUAUGACAUGGUCUUGACCUAUAAGGCCAAGUCUGGUAGAGGACAUAAGGCGGGAAAUCACCAUAGCAGGCAUGGGACACAUCUUGCCAAGCUAGGCACAACAUGAAGAAGAAUACAUUGCUUUGGCUGAACAGAAAGGUAACCCAGCUGGACCCAAAUAAAUCACUAUUGGAGGUAAAGUUGUUCCCUCAAGAAACCCUUUUCCU